AGUGACACCAUGCCAGGCUUGGCCGAUCGAAAAAAGCUAAGCAGCACUGGGCCAGGAUAUUAUUUGGAUGGGAGACCACCAGAAACAUUCAGGGCUGUAAAUU
rnacentral:rRNA from 1 species